UACGGAGGGUGCGAGCGUUGUUCGGAAUCACUGGGCGUAAAGCGCGUGUAGGCGGCCCACUAAGUCUGAUGUGAAAGCCCGGGGCUCACCCCCGGAAGUGCAUUGGAAACUGGUGGACUCGAGUCCCGGAGAGGAGAGUGGAAUUCCUGGUGUAGCGGUGAAAUGCGCAGAUAUCAGGAGGAACACCGGUGGCGAAGGCGGAUCUCUGGGCCAUUACUGACGCUGAGGAGCGAAAGCGUGGGGAGCGAACAGG
rnacentral:rRNA from 1 species